rnacentral:rRNA from 1 species
GACGAACGCUGGCGGCGUGCUUAACACAUGCAAGUCGAACGGAAAGGCCCUGCUUUUGUGGGUUGCUCGAGUGGCGAACGGGGGAGUAACACGUGAGUAACCUGCCCUUGACUUUGGGAUAACUUCAGGAAACUGGGGCUAAUACCGGAUAGGAGCUCCUGCUGCAUGGUGGGGGUUGGAAAGUUUCGGCGGUUGGGGAUGGACUCGCGGCUUAUCAGCUUGUUGGUGGGGUAGUGGCUUACCAAGGCUUUGACGGGUAGCCGGCCUGAGAGGGUGACCGGGCACAUUGGGCCUGCGAGACGGACCAGACUCCUACGGGCGGCAGCAGUGGGGAACAUUGCACAAUGGGGGGAAGCCUGAGGCAGCAACGUCGCGUGCGGGAUGACGGCCUACGGGUUGUAAACAGCUUUCGCAUGUGACGAAGCGUGCGUGACAGUAAUGGGUCAAGAAGCAACGGCUAACUACGUG